rnacentral:lncRNA from 1 species
GGGGCAGAGACACAGGCAGAGGGAGAAGCAGGCUCCAUCCACUGGGAGCCCGAUGUGGGAUUCGAUCCCGGGUCUUCAGGAUCGCGCCCUGGGCCAAAGGCAGGUGCCAAACCGCUGUGCCACCCAGGGAUCCCCAAGACAUUUUUUAAAUGUAUUUUGGAUACAGUCUUUUUUUUAUCAGAUGUGCAUUUUGCAAUUUUUUUAAUGGGUUAACUUUUCAUUCUCUUAAUAGUGUCUUUCACUGAGCAGUAGUUUUUAAUUUUAAUGAAGUCAAAUUAUCAAUUUUUUCUUUCACGAUAGUGAUUUUGGUGGUGUUCUCUAAAAUAUUGCUAAAAUCAAGGUCAUCUAAAUUUCUCCCAUCUUAUCUUCUAGGAGUUUUAUAAUUUUGUGUUUUAUAUUUAGGGUCCAUGAUCCAUUUUGAAGCUAUUUUUGUGGAAGAUGUAAGGAUUGUGGUUUUAUUUUUUUAUUUUUAUUUUUUUUGUAUGUGACUGUCCAGUUGUUCGAGCACCACAGAUGUCUUUGUGCUGGGAACCCUAACACACCCCUGUGUCAUUGACACUAAGACUACAGAUUUAGAUGUAGACAUGAAUAUUUUUUUGCUACAGCUGAAUAGCUUGCUCGAAAGCCAAAAAGAAGUGGCUUAUAUUUAUCCUACGAGCCUUUCGUUUAAGACGAGCCUCACUGGCAGGAACACUUCCGUAAUGUACAAUCUUAACAGAACUGGUGUGUUAUUUAGGAACACACAAAGGACUAUUCAAAAGUUGGUGCAAAAUUAUAGGUGUGCCUAGAGGAAAAAUUAUGUUUCUUAACAUCUUCGCUGUCUGCCCUGUUUUUCCUACAGCUUCUCAUUUUACUCAAGUCUGUGAUCUUUGUCUUUGUUAGCUUGCAGUGAACUUCAUUCACUGAUGCUGGAAGCAGAGAGUUUUCAGUUAGAUGCCCUAGCUGCUGAUCCAUACCCUUGGAGACUGGAUGUAGUCUCAAUAUUAAAAUGUGCAGGAAUACAUCAAAGAUACAUCUUUAAAUGUCCCCCUUUAACCUCAGAAUAAAUAAUUUGGGAGUAUUUCUUUUAGUUCCCAACUUUGAUAGGACUUACAAUGGAAUAAAAAGACAGGAGUUUCAAUUCCUUUUAAUGCUUCUCUUCUAAUAGUUCUGUGAUUUGAUACCAUGGUGACAGGCAUCAAGGAAAUACUUAGGAUUAAUGAUGCUUUCAGUUCAUUUGGAAAAGAAAUGUAUAUUUAAUUCGUCUAGCUUCUUGGUUAAAUUGCCAUCUUGCAUACAAACUCCUUUCUGGCAUAAAUGAAUUGAAAAUAUGGAUUUCGAGAAAUAUUUUAAUCCACGUAGCACCAUACUUAUUUUCGCCUGACUUUACUAGGUUAUUUUAACCCAACUUAUAGAGACAACAAUAAAAAGAGUAAAGCAGAUGGCUUAAAUAUUAUAAGUACAUCUUAUAACACUUUUGGGAUUUAGAGAAUUACUUUUGGGAUCGAUGAGCUAUUUCUUAGUAUUUAAAUGUUGGCUAUUUCUUAAAACGUUUUUGGUCUUACCUGGGUUAAACUUUUAUUUAUUUAUUUUUAAUUUUUCCUUUAAUGCAGAGAGGAAUAGCCACUUGAAGUUACCUGAGCAUUCGAGUAGUUUCUUUGCAGUGUCCUUCGAAAUAUUUCUUUCCCAGUAUUUUCUUACAACCACCCUUGCAGGUUUCUACUUCAGCUUGGACUUGUUUCUAUGACUUGUUGGUGUCUCUGACUUCAGCCUUGUACUGUUUUUGUCCCACACUCUUCACACUGUUUGAUCUUCAACAAACACUCUGCUCGGAUUGUUGUAGUAAGUGUUGCGCGCUGUGGUGUAGGAAGAGUAUGGAUCUUGGGGUGGGUGCUUCUCUCUCCCUGCAGCCCCGACACUCAGAUCUCCCUAAGGCUCACUGCCUCUGCUGCACAGCAUCGUCAGCGCUCCCAUAGACGUUGGCCUUAUGGUUAAAUGAAAGCUUGUUCCCUUAAUGCUUCUCAUCUGUCCACAAUUCUUACCUUGACUUACGAAAUCCACGGAAGUUGGUGCUCAGACAAGCCCUCAGCACUCCUGUUAACUCCCUGUGUGUGCCCAACAUUUUAGCCAACACCCAGACCAAACUCUCCUACCCCGUUUUUGCCCUCUCUCCUACCCUGUUUUUGCCCUCUCUCUUCCUGAGCCUCUGUUUAUAUUUCUGCUGCCUGGAAUUUCUUCCAUCUUCCUUCACCAUUUAUUGAAAGGCUAUGGAUUCAUGAAAGUGCCCCGAAAUGACCUCUCCGAAUUCCUGAUCCAGCGUAGCCCCAGCCGAAAAUGGUCUGUUUUUCUUCCUGAUGUUUGUAGGGCACUGAUAUUUGCUUUCUUAUGACACUAACAAUGACUGUUUUGAGGGACUCCUGGGGGGCUCAGCAGUUGAGCGUCUGCCUUCGGCUCAAGUCACGACCCCAGGGUCCCGGGAUCGAGUCCCACAUUGGGCUCCCCACAGGGAGCCUGCUUCUCCCUCUGCCUGUGUCUCUACCUCUCUCUGUGUCUCUCAUGCAUAAAAAAAUAUUUUUUUUUUUAAAAAAAAGCAUUUGAGGUAACGGAAGAAGAAAUAUUGGGAAUUAAAUGGAAAAAGGCCAUAUGGAAAUAAAUAUACCCAUAAGUGAAUGAAAUAUAAAUGCAUAAAAGGGCCCCAAAUAUGAAGAUCUUCUCUGGAUUGCAUCUUUAAGAGAUAUUUAAUGCUCAUCAAUGUGAAAUUUAAAAAACUAUUACCUAUUCAUUUAUAUUAACUGUUAAUCUUUAAAAAAAUUAAGUACUAAUCUUAAAACCUUUAAGUACUAAAUUUUUAUGAUCGCUUUCCUAAACAUUUUCUUCAAGGAUUUCUCUGUUUUCACUUUGGUUAGUUUUUAAGAAGUUAAUUAAAUACGAGGAUGGCCUUUCCAUUCUCUUCUCCUGAUACUCCUGGCUGUUUGAAAAAGAACACUCAAUUCAUUUAAUAAAGAAAACACCUAUUGGGAUGCCUGGAUGGCUCAGUUGCUUAAGUAUCUGACUCUUGAUUUCAGCUGAGGUCAUGAACUCAAGGUCAUGAGGGCAUUGGGGUCUGCAUUGGCCAUGAAGCCUACUUAAGAUUCUCUCUCUCCCUCUCCCUCUACCCCUACACCAUCCACUUUUCUCUCCCUAAAAAAGAAAAGGAAAGAGAAAGAGAAAAGAAAGAGGGAAGGAAGGAAGGAAGGAAGGAAGGAAGAAGGAAGGAAGGAAGGAGAAAGAAAAAGAAAGAAAAAA